CCCUUAGAUGUUCUGGGCCGCACGCGUGCUACACUGAACGGUUCAAUGGGUAAGGUAGUGCGAAAGCAUGACCUAAUCUCGAAAUUCGUUCGUGCUGGGGAUAGAAGCUUGCAAUUAUCCUUCUUGAACGAGGAAUACCUUGUAAGCGUGAGUCAUCAUCUCACGCUGAAUACGUCCCUGCCCUUUGUACACACCGCCCGUCGCUCCUACCGAUUGAGUGUUCCGGUGAGGCUUUGGGAGAAUGGCCUCAACAUGAGUUUAUCGUGUUUUGCCGUUUGAACUUAGUCAAACCUUAUCACUUAGAGGAAGGAGAAGUCGUAACA
rnacentral:rRNA from 1 species